rnacentral:misc_RNA from 1 species
GAAACAUAAUGCAGACAACAUACAAGUUAUGUUGCAUUUUUGGAGGAUCCGACAUGGAUGAGGCAACAAUCCAAGAAACAUAGCAUACAAAAAGUAAGGGAAAACACAGUCAAUCUAAACAGAACAGGAAAAGGAAAACGGGACGGGAGGAAUUGAAACUUCAACAGAACCUUCAAGCAUUAGCUCGACUUCCUUGAGUGCACCAAAUAGCAUAAUAACCAACAACAACUUCUCGAUAUCUUCUAUAGCCUCUUCAUCAUCGUUCACGAGUAAAUGCAACUCUUUGCUUGUACAGUAAUCACAAGCACACUCCAUGAGUAUCAUUUCAUUCUCAAAAAAGUUUGGACAACCAAAGCUUUGGAAGACCUCUGUCCGAUCUAUUAGACAAUGGACGCUUCUUCACCGAUGUGAUCUUCAUUUGUGAAAAGAUAAUUUCUCAACUCCUGUUGCUCCAUACAUGUAAAGUUUUCCAUUUCGACUUCCUUUAACUUAUGACUCCGAAAAGUUUUCUCAUCUUCAGCUGACGCAUCUUCAUAUAUAAACUUCAAGGUACAGCUUAAGUCCGAAUCCCGGACAAAAGUUAAGGUGUUGAGUUGAGGAGAAAUC